rnacentral:sRNA from 1 species
GCCAGGCACAGUGGUGUGUACUUGUAAUCCCAGCUACUCAGGAGGCUGAGGCAGGAAUAUCAUGUGCCCAGGAAUUCAAGAUGAGCCUGGGCAACACCAAAAUCGCAUCUC